UCUCUCACACGCUAUGCAGAGUUUUCAGUCCCUCUAGCGUAGCUGGAGCAAUGAUCAUUGUGAAAGAAAAUUAUGUGACUGAGUCUGAAUGGUGGAGAUAAAAAGAGUGGGGUAUUCCCAAAGAAAGUGCACGGCUCAGAGUUCUUUUGUACACUGAAACUUUUAACAAAAUGUAACUGUUUAUAAAAAAUUUAUAUAUGCAGAUUUAUGGAAGUAAAUGAAAAAACUGAUUAAUAAUAUCCAAUAUUUGUGCAUUUAUGAUUUACUAAGUUUAUUUUGGUUAUCUUUACGUAUACAUGAACCUGUAACUUUACGUACAAUGUGCCACAAAUCUUCAACAAUUACCGUUCAAUUAUUGACAGCCAACCCACAAAUAACCAGAAAUAUGCAUCUGAAAAACCCACAGAAGUUGAGGGGUGAUUGUCUUCUUCAAUCCGACAAUACUGAUCUCCUGGCUAUUCUUUGACAACACAUCUUUGAUCUCUCUAUUAUAGCAUUUUCUUUGGCUGUUCUUCAUGCUGAGAACACUCUCCCUUUUCUCUGUUCCUUGGUUUCCCUAGCUUCAAGUCCUAGGUAAAGAUAUCAUUUUGGGCAGGAAGCUUUUCCCAGCUCCUAUUAAUUGUAGUGCUUUUAUUCUUAAUUAAUUACUAUUUAUCCUAUACAUAAUUUGUUUGUACAUAAAUGUUUGCCUGUUACCUUUCCUAUUAGACUGUGUGUUCCUUGAGGGCAGAGAAUGUCUUGCCUCCUGGUGUGUCCCCAACACUUGGAAUAGUGCCUAAGCUAUAAUAGGCUCUUAAUAAACAUUUGUUGCUUUGUUCCCUUUGUUCCCCAAUGUACUUGCAAUCAUAAAUCAAGACCAAAAAAUGAAAAGUAUCAAACGAGCAAGAUGUUAUAAUAAUGUUCCCUAUUUUUAUAAAAUAUUUAAUAAAAAGAGCUCAGAGCAUUCUGAAAAUUAAUUUUUCUUGAUCUAUUUAAUCCUUCUAAUUUCCUUACGUAUGACAGAUGAUCAGAAAGUUUAUUGUCUUAUAUUUAGAGAAAUUAAACAUAAACAAGAAAGAUUUGUCCAAGAUCAAGUCAGAAGUCAAUAAUGAAAGUACCUUAAAGAGAAUUGAUAACAACAUAUUUGGAUAUAUAGGCAUUUCCAUAUGAUACCAAAUCAAAUUCAAACUUGAAACUCAUGAUAUGGGAGAGAAAAUGUGGUCCAGUGGUAUUUCAAGAGCAAAAUAAGCUUUCUAACUAAACCAUUAGAGACCAUUUAUCACUAUUUGGAAUAAUUGUUGGCAUCUACUGAACAUAUCAUCAUUUCUGAGCAUGCUUCAGGAGAGGGGCCCUGGAGAAUAAGCCCAUCAGCAACCAUGCCUUCCAGCUGUUUGUUUCAAUUUCUUGCCCACUGAGGUUCUUAAUCAUCAUUAUUCCAGAUAUAAUGUGUCAAUUUUUUAAGAGGGAAAGAAAACAAGAACUUCAGCAAAAAAUAAAACCCACUUCAGAUCCCUUGAGAGUUUUUCACUAGAAAAUGAAAAUUAUGAAAAAGAACAGCUCUGUCCCAUGGAAUUUAUCUAUGGAAAAACAAAAGGCCUACACUAUAAUAAUUGCCUUUUAAUUAAAUGAAGAUUAUCCUGACUUCCCUUUUUUUAGGUAAAGGUUCUGCAGAAAAGAAAAAAAUCCCAUUACAGCAUAACCUACAUGUAACUAAAAGACUGCCAACUCUUACCAGCAUUACCUAUUUCAAAGCAAUUUUUGAUGAAAAGAAAUUCCAGCUUGCUAAAGACACAAUUAAAAAAACUAAACCAUUUUGUAUAGAAAUUGUUCUCAAAUCAACCUAUCAAUUAAUAAGCAUUUAUUAAGUGCCAAGUCACUGUGUUAGGUACUGAGAAUACAAAUGCAGAGUGAAACCAUCCCUACUCAACAGGGAGUUUACAUUCUAAUGAGGAAAUAAAAUGUAUCAGAAAUUUUCUUGCUUUUGUAAGCAGGACAGGAACAUAAACUUUCCUUUCCUUCAUGAUUCAAGUUUAUCAUUCUUAAUGACAAUUAUUGCCAUCAGGUCUGUGGAAGUAAAAAGGCUGCUUCUUCGAGACAAAAAUUAAAUUCUUAUAUUUGGCCAUGUUGUGGCUGUCAGCUGAUUCUAACUAUGAAUGAGGAUGUGGAUAAGGCCCCCUUUUCUCUCUCUUUUUUUAUUUUAUUUUUAUUUUUUAAUUUUUUUAAUUUUUUUAAUUUUUAUUUUUAAAUUUAAAUUUUAUUUUAUUUAAUAAUAACUUUGUAUUGACAGAAUCCAUGCCAGGGUAAUUUUUUACAACAUUAUCCCUUGCACUCGCUUAUGUUUCGUUUUUUUCCCCUCCCUCCCUCCACCCCCCCCCCCCCAAGAUGGCAAGCAGUCCUAUAUAUGUUAAAUAUGUUGCAGUAUAUCCUAGAUACAAUACAUAUUUGCAGAACCGAACAGUUCUCCUGUUGCACAGGGAGAAUUGGAUUCAGAAGGUAAGAAUAACUCAGGAAGAAAAAUCAAAAAUGCAAAUAGUUCACAUUCGUUUCCCAGUGUUCCUUCUUUGGUGUAGCUGUUUCUGUCCAUCAUUUAUCCAUUGAAACUCAGUUAGGUCUCUUUGUCAUAGAAAACCACUUCCAUCAGAAUAUAUCCUCAUACAAUAUCGUUGUCAAAGUGUAUAAUGAUCUCCUGGUUCUGCUCAUCUCACUCGGCAUCAGUCCAUGUAGGUCUCUCCAAGCCUCUCUGUAUUCAUCCUGCUGGUCAUUUCUUACAGAACAAUAAUAUUCCAUAACAUUCAUAUACCACAAUUUACCCAGCCAUUCUCCAACUGAUGGGCAUCCAUUCAUUUUCCAGUUUCUAGACACUACAAACAGGACUGCUACAAACAUUUUGGCACAUACAGGUCCCUUUCCCUUUUUUAGUAUCUCUUUGGGAUAUAAGCCCAAUAGAAACACUGCUGGAUCAAAGGGUAUGCACAUUUUGAUAACUUUUUGGGCAUAAUUCCAGAUUGCUCUCCAGAAUGGUUGGAUUCAUUCACAACUCCACCAACAAUGCAUUAGUGUCCCCGUUUUCCCGCAUCCCCUCCAACAUUUAUCAUUAUUUUUUCCUGUCAUCUUAGCCAGUCUGACAGGUGUGUAGUGAUAUCUCAGAGUUGUCUUAAUUUGCAUUUCUCUGAUCAAUAGUGAUUUGGAACACUCUUUCAUGUGAGUAGUAAUAGUUUCAAUUUCAUCAUCUGAAAAUUGUCUGUUCAUAUCCUUUGACCAUUUAUCAAUUGGAGAAUGGCUUGAUUUUUUAUAAAUUUGAGUCAGUUCUCUAUAUAUUUUGGAAAUGAGGCCUUUAUCAGAACCUUUAAUUGUAAAGAUGUUUUCCCAGUUUGUUGCUUCCCUACUAAUCUUGUUUGCAUUCGUUCUGUUUGUACAAAGGCUUUUUAAUUUGAUAUAAUCAAAAUUUUCUAUUUUGUGAUCAGUAAUGGUCUCUAGUUCAUCUUUGGUCACAAAUUUCUUUCUCCUCCACAAGUCUGAGAGAUAAACUAUCCUAUGUUCCUCUAAUUUAUUUAUAAUCUCGUUCUUUAUGCCUAGGUCAUGGACCCAUUUUGAUCUUAUCUUGGUAUAUGGUGUUAAGUGUGGGUCCAAUCCCUAUUUUUUCAAAUAGUUUAUAUAGCAUUGCAGUUAAUUGUUCUUUAAAUGUUUGGUAGAAUUCACAUGUAAAUCCAUAUGGUCCUGGGGAUUUUUUCUUAGGGAGUUGGUUAAUAAAAACAGAAUAUUUUCACCUUUUUAUUAUUGUUUGCUUGAUUUUUUUCUCACAUAUUUUUUCACUUUUAAUCUGAUUUUUUUCUUGUGCAGCAUGACAAAAAUGGAAAUAUGUUUAGAAGAAUUAUACAUAUUUAACCUAUAUUGGAUUGCUUGCUCUCUUGGGGAUAGGAAAGAAGGAGGGGGAGAGAGAAAAAUCUGGAACACAAAGUUUUGCAAAGAUGAAUGUUGAAAAUGACCUUUGCAUAUAUUUAGAAAAAUAAAAUACUAUAAAAUAAGGGAAGCAAAUAGGAAAAUUUUAUAAUGAGUGUUUCUGAUAAAGGCUUCAUUUAUAAAAUUUGUAGAUAAUUAAAUCAAAUUCAUAAGAAUAUGAGUCAUUCUCCAACUUGAUAAAGGGUCAAAGGACACAAACAGACAAUUUUUAGAUAAAGAAAGUAAAGCUAUUUCUAGUCAUAGGAACAAAUGCUCUAAAUUACUAUUGAUUAGAGAAAUGCAAAUUAAAAUAACUCUUGGGUACUAUUUCAUACCUCUCAAAUUGGCUAAGAUGACAGGAAAAGUUAAUAACUAUUUGAGGGGAUUUGGGAAAAUUAGGAUACUAAUGUAUUCCUGCUGGUGUAGUUGUUAAAUGAUCCAACCAUUCUGGAGAAGAAUUUGGAAGUAUGCCAAAGGGCUAUCAAAGUAUGCAUAUCCUUUGGUCCAGCUAUGUCACUACCAGGUCUGUAUCCCAAAGAGGUCAUAAAAGAGAGUAAAAUGUUUAUAGUAGACCUUCUUGCAGUAGCAAGGAACUGGAAACUGAGUGGAUGCCCACCAGUUUGAGAAUGGCUAAAUAAGUUAUGGUAUAUGAAUGUAAUGGAAUAUUGUUUUUCUAUUAGAAGUGAUAAACAGGCUGAUUUCAGGAAAGACUUAUAUGAACUGAUGCUGAGUGAAGUGAUCAGAAUCAGAAGAACAUGUCCACAGUGAUAAGAAGAUUAUGUGAUGAUCAACUGUGAUGGACUUGGCUCUUAGCAAUAUAGUGAUUCAGGGCAAUUUCAAUAGACUUAAGAUGGAGAAUGCCAUUUGCAACCAGGGAGAGAGUUUGUUUUUUUUUUU